ACGACAUAAUGGGGACAUUUUCUGAUGAGGUCCUUUAAUCUUUCCCAUGACUCAUAAAACUGCUCACCAUCUUGUUGACAAAAGCUAGUGAGAGCUCCUCUUUUUUU
rnacentral:snoRNA from 1 species